UCUGGUGACGAUGGCGAAGAGGACACACCCGUACCCAUCCCGAACACGGAAGUUAAGCUCUUCAGCGCCGAGGGUACUUGGGGGGCGACCCCCUGGGAGAGUAGGACGUUGCCAGGC
rfam:Clostridium ultunense Esp genomic scaffold, CTLT_3033